CCCCUCUCAGGGUCACACUAGAAGAGUUUCCAAUAGUCUGCCAGUCUCGGCAACAGGAGGGAGAGUCAAGCAGAGGCCUACCCAUUCCAUUCCUAGCUUGGUCAGUGGCUAGCGAGUGGAAGGCAAUCUGCUACAAGU